GAUGAACGCUAGCGGCAGGCUUAAUACAUGCAAGUCGAGGGGCAGCAGGACUGUAGCAAUACAGUUGCUGGCGACCGGCAAACGGGUGCGGAACACGUACGCAACCUACCCAAAACUGGGGGAUAGCCCGGGGAAACCCGGAUUAAUACCUCGUAACCUUUUUAAGUGGCAUCACUUGAUAAGUAUAGCUCCGGCGGUUUUGGAUGGGCGUGCGCCUGAUUAGGUAGUUGGUGCGGGUAACGGCCCACCAAGCCUGCGAUCAGUAACUGGUGUGAGAGCACGCCCAGCACAACGGGCCAUGAGACCCGGGCCCGCCUCCUACGGGAGGCAGCAGUAAGGAUUUUUGGUCAAGGGACCCAAGUCUGACCCCGCCAUGCCGGGUGAAGGAUGAAGGUCCUCUGGAUUGUAAACUUCUUUUAUGGGGGACAAAACCCGGAUAUUCUUUCCCGUUGGCCGGUACCUCAGGAAUAAGCCCCGGCUACCUCCGU
rnacentral:rRNA from 1 species